rnacentral:rRNA from 1 species
AUACGUAGGGAGCGAGCGUUGUCCGGAAUUACUGGGUGUAAAGGGAGCGUAGGCGGGACUGCAAGUCAGAUGUGAAAUACCGGGGCUUAACCCCGGAGCUGCAUUUGAAACUGUGGUUCUUGAGUGAAGUAGAGGCAAGCGGAAUUCCUGGUGUAGCGGUGAAAUGCGUAGAUAUCAGGAGGAACACCGGUGGCGAAGGCGGCUUGCUGGGCUUUUACUGACGCUGAGGCUCGAAAGCGUGGGUAGCAAACAGGAUUAGAUACCCUGGUAGUCCACGCUGUAAACGAUGAAUACUAGGUGUGGGGGGACUGACCCCCUCCGUGCCGCAGUUAACACAAUAAGUAUUCCACCUGGGGAGUACGAUCGCAAGAUUGAAACUCAAAUGAAUUGACGGGG